GACGAACGCUGGCGGCGUGCUUAACACAUGCAAGUCGAACGGAAAGGCCCUGCUUUUGUGGGGUGCUCGAGUGGCGAACGGGUGAGUAACACGUGAGUAACCUGCCCUUACCUUUGGGUUAACUUCAGAAAACUGGGGCUAAUACCGGUUGGGGGCUCCUGCUGCUUGGGGGGGUUUGGAAAUUUUCGGCGGUUGGGGAUGGACUCGCGGCUUAUCAGCUUGUUGGUGGGGUAGUGGCUUACCAAGGCUUUGACGGGUAGCCGGCCUGAGAGGGUGACCGGCCACAUUGGGACUGAGAUACGGCCCAGACUCCUACGGGAGGCAGCAGUGGGGAAUAUUGCACAAUGGGCGGAAGCCUGAUGCAGCAACGCCGCGUGCGGGAUGACGGCCUUCGGGUUGUAAACCGCUUUCGCCUGUGACGAAGCGUGAGUGACGGUAAUGGGUAAAGAAGCACCGGCUAACUACGUG
rnacentral:rRNA from 1 species